GACGAACGCUGGCGGCGUGCUUAACACAUGCAAGUCGAACGGAAAGGCCCUGCUUUUGUGGGGUGCUCGAGUGGCGAACGGGUGAGUAACACGUGAGUAACCUGCCCUUGACUUUGGGAUAACUUCAGGAAACUGGGGCUAAUACCGGAUAGGAGCUCCUGCUGCAUGGUGGGGGUUGGAAAGUUUCGGCGGUUGGGGAUGGACUCGCGGCUUAUCAGCUUGUUGGUGGGGUAGUGGCUUACCAAGGCUUUGACGGGUAGCCGGCCUGAGAGGGUGACCGGCCAAAUUGGGACUGAGAUACGGCCCAGACUCCAACGGGAGGCAGCGGUGGGGAAUAUUGCACAAUGGGCGGAAGCCUGAUGCAGCAACGCCGCGUGCGGGAUGACGGCCUUCGGGUUGUAAACCGCUUUCGCCUGUGACGAAGCGUGAGUGACGGUAAUGGGUAAAGAAGCACCGGCUAACUACGUG
rnacentral:rRNA from 1 species